rnacentral:rRNA from 1 species
ACGCUAGCUACAGGCUUAACACAUGCAAGUCGAGGGGAAACGGCAUUGAGUGCUUGCACUCUUUGGACGUCGACCGGCGCACGGGUGAGUAACGCGUAUCCAACCUUCCCAUUACUGUGGGAUAACCUGCCGAAAGGCAGACUAAUACCGCAUAGUCUUCGAUGACGGCAUCAGAUUUGAAGUAAAGAUUUAUCGGUAAUGGAUGGGGAUGCGUCUGAUUAGCUUGUUGGCGGGGUAACGGCCCACCAAGGCGACGAUCAGUAGGGGUUCUGAGAGGAAGGUCCCCCACAUUGGAACUGAGACACGGUCCAAACUCCUACGGGAGGCAGCAGUGAGGAAUAUUGGUCAAUGGACGGAAGUCUGAACCAGCCAAGUAGCGUGCAGGAUGACGGCCCUAUGGGUUGUAAACUGCUUUUGUAUGGGGAUAAAGUUAGGGACGUGUCCCUAUUUGCAGGUACCAUACGAAUAAGGACCGGCUAAUUCCGUGCCAGCAGCCGCGGUAAUACGGAAGGUCCAGGCGUUAUCCGGAUUUAUUGGGUUUAAAGGGAGCGUAGGCUGGAGAUUAAGUGUGUUGUGAAAUGUAGACGCUCAACGUCUGAAUUGCAGCGCAUACUGGUUUCCUUGAGUACGCACAACGUUGGCGGAAUUCGUCGUGUAGCGGUGAAAUGCUUAGAUAUGACGAAGAACUCCGAUUGCGAAGGCAGCUGACGGGAGCGCAACUGACGCUUAAGCUCGAAGGUGCGGGUAUCAAACAGGAUUAGAUACCCUGGUAGUCCGCACAGUAAACGAUGGAUGCCCGCUGUUGGUACCUGGUAUCAGCGGCUAAGCGAAAGCAUUAAGCAUCCCACCUGGGGAGUACGCCGGCAACGGUGAAACUCAAAGGAAUUGACGGGGGCCCGCACAAGCGG